GAUGAACGCUGGCGGCGUGCCUAACACAUGCAAGUCGAACGAUGAAGCCCAGCUUGCUGGGCGGAUUAGUGGCGAACGGGUGAGUAACACGUGAGUAACCUGCCCUUGACUCUGGGAUAAGCCCGGGAAACUGGGCCUAAUUCCGGAUAGGUGCGCCUGUCGCAUGACGGGUGCUGGAAAGAUCUUGCGGUCUUGGGUGGACUCGCGGCCUAUCAGCUAGUUGGUGAGGUAUCGGUUCACCAAGGCGGCGGCGGGUCGCCGGCCGAAGGGGGUGACGGGCCACACUGGGACUGGAGGACGGCGCAGACACCUACGGGAGGCAGCAGAGGGGCAGAUGGCACAAUGGGGGAAGACCUGAGGCGGCGACGCGGCGUGAGAAAUGACGGCCUUCGGGUUGUAAACCUCUUACGGCAGGGAAGAAGCGAAGGUGACGGUACCUGCAGAAGAAGCACCGACUAACUAC
rnacentral:rRNA from 1 species